AACGCGAAGAACCUUACCAGCCCUUGACAUCCCGGUCGCGAGUACCAGAGAUGGAACUCUUCAGUUCGGCUGGACCGGAGACAGGUGCUGCAUGGCUGUCGUCAGCUCGUGUCGUGAGAUGUUGGGUUAAGUCCCGCAACGAGCGCAACCCUCGCCCUUAGUUGCCAUCAUUUAGUUGGGCACUCUAAGGGGACUGCCGGUGAUAAGCCGCGAGGAAGGUGGGGAUGACGUCAAGUCCUCAUGGCCCUUACGGGCUGGGCUACACACGUGCUACAAUGGCGGUGACAAUGGGAUGCAAUGGAGCAAUCCUGCGCAAAUCUCAAAAAGCCGUCUCAGUUCGGAUUGUGCUCUGCAACUCGAGCACAUGAAGUUGGAAUCGCUAGUAAUCGCAGAUCAGCACGCUGCGGUGAAUACGUUCCCGGGCCUUGUA
rnacentral:rRNA from 1 species